rnacentral:misc_RNA from 1 species
GAUGAAGAACGUAGCGAAAUGCGAUAAGUAGUGUGAAUUGCAGAAUUCAGUGUAUCAUCGAAUCUUUGAACGCACAUUGCGCCCCUUGGUAUUCCAUGGGGCAUGCCUGUUCGAGCGUCAUUUGUACCUUCAAGCCUUGCUUGGUGUUGGGUGUUUGUCUCGCCUCUGCGCGCAGACUCGCCUCAAAACAAUUGGCAGCCGGCGUAUUGAUUUCGGAGCGCAGUACAUCUCGCGCUUUGCACUCAGAACGACGACGUCCAAAAGUACAUUUUUACACUCUUGACCUCGGAUCAGGUAGGGAUACCCGCUGAACUUAAGCAUAUCAAUAAGCGGAGGA